ensembl:lncRNA
ACUCGGAGCGGCGGGUCCCGGCUCGACAGGUCUUCUCUGUCGGUUGAAAUGUCUAUGAUUUUAUCUGCUUCAGUCAUUCGUGUCAGAGAUGGACUGCCACUUUCUGCUUCAACUGACUAUGAACAAGGCACAGGCAUGCAGGAGUGCAGAAAGUAUUUUAAGAUACUCUCGAGGAAACUUGCUCAGCUUCCUGAUAGAUGUACACUGAAAACUGGACAUUAUAACAUUAAGUAAGACUUCAGUUUGUUCCAUUAGAAUUAUUUGCAUUGUGGUUGUCAUUUUAAUGAAAUUUAAAUGAAAUUUAAAUAGAAAUUAAUGUUUGACUAAGAAUUUGUUCAAGUCAAGAAUCUUGUGGUUCUGAACUUAUACUAAAAGUAUUCCUCAUGUCAUCAUCCUUUUUGCAAUUUCUUUGUGUUUAUGUCUGGCUUUAGCAAAUUUUAUAGUUUUGCAGGUCACAGUUAUUGCAAAAGUUGAUUGUUAGGUAUUUAUUGGUAUUCUCACAUGCCCAGAAAAACUGUAAUGGAAAAUAUAAAAAGUCAUACAUGAUACUUGUCCUUAAAGAACUUAAGAAUUUUACAUCCCAGUGAGAGGGGAUAGUGCUCAUUACUAUUUCUUGUAUGUAAAGAAAACCAAACUGGGCAGUGGGAUAGAGAGUGACUUUACAGAGCUCAAGGGCCUUUCUGAGAGAGUGACAUUUGAACAGAGACCUAAAGGAUGCUGUGAAUGAAGAGCAAGGCAGAGGUAACAGCCAGUGCAGAAGGUCUUCAGUACAGAUCAAGGGAUGGAAAGAAAACCAAGAGGAUGAAGCAAUAUAGACAAUUGAUAGAGUGACAGAGGUGAGACUAGAAAGGUAGGAAUAGGACAGGUUACAUAGGGCCUUCUAGGCUGUGAUAAGGAGUUUGGAUUGAGCCUAAUGUAAUAGGAAACCAUUGGAGAGCUUUAAGAUGGGGAGUUAUGUAGUCUGAUUUUGGUUUUGAGUAGAUCAUCCUAGCUGCUCUCUGGAGAAUGGGCUCUAGGGGAGAAAGAGUGGAGGCAGCGAGGUCAUUUAGGAGAUACUUAAGAGAAGUUUAGGUAGAGGUGAUGGCUUGUAACUUAAAAUGAGGGUGAUAAUGAUGAGAAGGGCUUGGAUGUGGGCUAUAGUUUGGGAGUAGUACCAACAAAUUUUCCUAAUGGAUUGAAAUGGAAUGUGUGGGAGAGGGAAUAAUUAAGAGUUACCUCUGUAUUUUUUUGGCCUAAAGAAUGUCCAUAAUUACUUGGAUAAGGGGACUGAAAUGUGCAAGACUGGAGAAUGUGUGUUUCACUGGUAAAAAUCAAGAGUUCUUUUUGGACUAUUAACUCUGAGAUGUCAGUUAGACAUCCCAGCGGCACUUUGAGGCAGGCAGUUGGAUGUAUAAGUCUGAAGUUUAGGGAAGUUCUCUUGUCGCUCAGUGGGUUAAGGAUCCAGCAUUAUCACUGUAGCAGCUUGGUUCACCAUUGUGGUUUGGGUUCAGUCCCUGGCCCAGGAACUUUCUUAUGCCAUGGGUGUAGCCAAAAAAAAUCAUAGGAAUAGAUGAGACUACCUCAGAGAGCAUACACAUGAAACAGUUAGAGAAUAACGAACUCCUGAGCAGUUUGAUACUGACUGUGCCUACAGUGGGAAAUCAGCUAAGAACAAGAUUGAUAUGGGAUAUAAUAAGGAGAGGGCUUUAUUACAGAGAAGAGAGGAGCCAUGUCCUGAAGAAUUAGUAAGAUUUGGCUAAAGCAGAGAGGAGGGCAUUCCAGGUGUAGGGAGGAGGCAGAACAAGUCAAGAAUGUGUCUUAGAUGGUUAGGUGCAUUAACCUGCUUGUCCUGGUACUGUGAAUGAUGAUUUAAGGAUAGUUAUGGAAAAUGUGAGAUGAUUAGUGUGGGGCCAGAUCCUGGAUUUCCCUGAAAGUUCAGAUUGAGGGAUAUCCCUUUGAUGAUGUAAUAGGUUACAGGAAACUGUCACUGUAGGUUUGAGGGAAGUGACUUGAUAAAAAGUAAUGCUAGAGUGAAAUAUAGAGUGAAAUGGAAAGUCUGAAGAGAGGAGAGAAGCCAACUUAUUGUUAGGGCCUGAACUAGUAAGAUAAAGUGCAAAUGAAAAAGAAAACGCCAACCAGAAAGACACUUCAGAGGAAGAAGUGGUAAAACCUAAUAAGCUCAAACACCAGAAAUGAAGAGAAGGAGGGGACAGAAAAUGUCUCGGAAUUGGAUAGAUUGAGAUCUUUGGAAAGGGUUGCUUAAAGAGGCAGAGGGUGAAGCUCCAUUUUGAGCAUUUUAAUUAAGGUUUUGACAAGAUGGUCCAGUUGGGGUGGGAUAGAGAUUUUGGAAUCAUUCACUUGGAAUUGAAAGUGUGAGGGUAGAAAUGCUCACUGCGUUUCUGAGAGGUUCAGAAUAGAACUUUAGGGAAGGUCUAUAUUUACUUGGGUCACGUGGAAUAAUGAGCAGUUUUGUCUUUAAUUGGGCUUUCUGAGAGUUUUAAAUGGAAAAUGUGGUGAUGGUCAUGGUGGUUAAAAUAUAUCUAAAAUAAUGUCUUCGCUUUUAUUUUUUGAAGAAAAAGCCUGAAACAUUCUAAUAUUGAACAGUCAGGCUCUUUUAGUGCCCGAGGUUAUUAUUCUGAGUUUCAGUUUUUGUUGUAUAGUGCUAUAAACAGAUUAUCAACAUUACAUAAGAUCGCCUUGAAUAUAUAUUAAUUCUGACCAAUAUCUUGG